GACGAACGCUGGCGGCGUGCUUAACACAUGCAAGUCGAACGGAAAGGCCCCUUUGGGGGUACUCGAGUGGCGACCGGGUGAGUAACACGUGAGUAACCUGACCUUGCCUUCGGGAUAACUUCAGGAAACUGAGGCUAAUACCGGAUAGGAAUAAUAGCUGCAUGGGGGGGGUUGGAAAGCUUCGGCGGGUUUGGCUGGACUCGCGGCAUAUCAGCUUGUUGGUGGAGUAGUGGGUUACCAAGGCGUUGACGGGUAGCCGGCCUGUGAGGGCGACCGGCGAUAUUGGGUCUGACAUGAGGCCGAGACUGCGACGGGACGGAGCAGUGGGGAAGAUUGCAGAAGGGGCGGAAGCCGGAUGCAGCAGGGCCGCGGGCGGGAUGACGGUCUUAGGGUUGUAAACCGCAUUCAGCAGGGGCGAAGCUUGUGGUGACGGUACCUGCAGAAGAAGCACCGGCUAACUACGUG
rnacentral:rRNA from 1 species